AGUCCGUGCGCCAGGCCACUGAGUGGGCCGUUUUCAUUUUCCUGGGUCCGAUCCCGCGGGAAAAAGUCUGCACAAAACUGUGUUGGUGAAGAUGAUGACGACAAUGGCAGUUGGGGGAGAAAUUUGGCAAUUGUUUUGGCCUUUCUCGCGGCCUGUCUUCGCUCCUUUGCCUUUGCAGCAAUGGAAGAUGAUGAGUUCAAUGUUGUGCUUUGACGCCGAGUAGAAAAUUUGAAUCGCAAACGCCAUCUUGGGCUUUAUUUAUGGAAGAAACUGCUCUCCACGAUUUGCUGGUUUCGCCGACUGGCAUCGAGAAGUAGACGAGCUGAGCUUUCCAAGAGCUGCGGACACCAAGCUCUCAUGGCGGAUCUUAGUAGAUCGUGCUCCAACGCGUCUUGGCAUUGUGUGAGAACAGCACGAAGAGGACCUUGGGUAUUAACGCGUCUUGGCAUUGUGUGAGAACAGCACGAAGAGGACCUUGGGUAUUGCAGCCUUUCCGCAGAAGGGGAAUGACUCGCUUCUUUGUGCUAGUGUGCAAACAUCCAUGUGUUCUCCCAGUAGUGCUGUUAGCUCAGCCAGAGGAUUAUCGCAGAUCUGAGUGUGACAAGCGAUCAGCUGUAAUAGCUUUGUUGUGAAUGCUUGCACUGCUGUCAACUAUUAUUUAUUCUAGCUGUGCCUCGUAGCACUUCUUGCAAAAGACAUCAUUCUAUGCUAUUGUCCUGUUCUUACUUCUUGGAACUGCUGAGACCGUUUCAUAGUGGGAACACUUCAUCUGUGCCUGUUUGUCCAUAACUGUCUUACAUGUGCUGCAAUGCCGCCUAUAUUGGCUCGGCGUGCACUUUUGAGCUUGUCCGCUACGUUCCGUUUCAUACACUUCUGUAGUAACGCAAUGAAGAUUCUCAUUGACACUCCUUUACACAGCCAGCGUAUGUGGAUAUUAGUCUGUAGGUGGCUGCAAUUUGGGUUUUUGUCUUUCGCCGUUCACUAUUUUACCAAAAUAUUCCAAUAUUCUGCA